AGCUUUGCACAGUAGCAGUAGCCCAUGAGGUUCAUCUGAGGCAGGAUUAUUGCUAAUUGAAAACUUCCCAAAAUACCAAGCCACGAUGACUUGAAAUACAGCAAACUUUGGCAAUAUUUGAUAGCUUCUGAGGAGA